rnacentral:rRNA from 1 species
CCCAAGGAGUGGCUGGUAACUGGGGUGAAGUCGUAACAAGGUAGCCGUAGGGGAACCUGCGGCUGGAUCACCUCCUUUCUAAGGAA